GUGCUCACUUCAGUAGCACGUAUACUAAAAUUGGAACAUACAGAGAAGAUGAGCAUGGACUCUGCCCAAGGAUGAUGUGCAAAUUUGUAAAAGCAGGCCUAAUUGU